AAACAAGGGGCGCGGGGACACGUGGACCCGCGCCGCUGGGCGCCCGCGCCGCGCAGGAGGAGCCGCCCGGAUCUGCGAGGAGCGGAGCCCGACCCGGCCGCCCCCGCUGGGCGAGGGCUCCAGAGCGCCCUCGUCCCUUCCCGGAGCUCGGGCCGGCGCUGGGUGCCUGCCCUUAACGAACCCGCACCGCCAGCGGGUGCGGCCCCGGCGGGAGGCGGCCGGCGCAGGGCGGCGUGAGUCAGCGCGAUUAGCCCUCGGAAGGGCCCCACCGCCCCGCGCGGCUCGGAAAUAAUCCGCGGUAUUCUAAACAGCUGAGAGAGAGUUUCAAAAUUAUGCAAUUUUGGGGCUUUCCAAGGAGAUCAUUGUGGGUUUUUUUUUUUGUUUUUUUUUUUUGUGCUGUUUCCAACAUCCUCCCCAUCUGCCGAGCUGCUCCCAAAUGGCGCUGGAGUCCCGUGGCAGUUCGGUAGUUCUGACUUUCGGGUAUGCCCGCGGUUGGUCGGGAACGUAAACAACAACAAAAGGUAUUUACACAACGUAAAGAGAAAGGAGUCCUUAAGCGGCGGCCGCUGGGAGCUGUACGUCCCGUGGAAGGCGCUGACAGCGGCCGCCAGAGGGAACGCUGCGCUUACUGUCACCACGGAAGGCUUCUGCAGUGCAAAAGAACGCUCCGAUCGUUGUUGGCCAUCAACGCGCACAGCGCAGACCGCCGGGCAGCCCGAGGCUCGGCCUCUCCUGCAGGCGAUCCUGGUAGCCGUACCGCUCCGCUCUGUGGGCACCGAAGGGACGCGGCUCCCAAAGCACGGCGGAACCGGGCAGCACUGCAUGUAGGUGUGCGAGAGCUGAGCUGACAGAAGGAAAGCCGACCUCGGGCUAUUGAACUCGAAAAUCCUCUGCGCUUAACUACGCAACAGAAGAACCCUUUGCGGGUCAUUGUCCCAGUUUGAGAACGCAGUGAUUUGAGCAAAUGGAGCUUUGGCAGAAGACUUGUGGAUACACGGGUGUCUCCACUCUGCAGACAGGCUACAAAGCCUGUGCAACUGCCACUUGCAAAGCAGAAUUCCCAUUCACUCCCCUGCGUAUCCCAGUGGGAAAGGAGUGGCACGCACAGGCCAGAUUGAGUGGCAACAGAAGAUACCAGAUGGUGUUUUGGGAAAAGACUUUCUGCCCCAAGGCUAACACCUGGCUGUGGAGCACGUUCCCACCCCACUAAGUGCUUUUUCUACCCACUUCUCAGUCUAGUUGUAAAAUACAUUGGCUGUGAGGGUUCACAGUUAUUUAGAAAAACUUGUGCAUAAAUGCCACAUGCAAAGCACAGUCCUUCGAGAUCCACUGGCCCAGAUUCAAGAGACAAGUAAAUAUCACUGCUGAAUUAGUGCCUCAGUAUCACACUUACCACCUUACAAAGAGCACAACAAUGGGAAUCCUACUUAGGAUCUGGAUUAGAACUCCAUAAAUAUGAGAGUCUGAAUUGUUUGUAAGAUUCGAGAACCAGAAACAUAGCAGCUUCCUUGUUUUCAAAUCUGCCUUUUCUUCUUUGCAUAUGGAAAGUUUACUCAGAGAAAAUGAGUAAGAGGACAGAUAUUGCAUGCAGUAGAUGGCAGCAAAACACAGAGAACCUUAUCAAAGAUUAACUACUAGCCCCCCUGCCGGGUUGAAGUCAAAUAUCCUCAAACGUCCAGGUGAUGAUGUCAAUCCCAUACUCCUUGCUCUGCAUAUCUAGGCUGUAAUUAAAUCAUUGCUCCAUGCACACGCCCUGCCUCACCUUACACCAUGCUCCGAAUGAAUGAGUGCUCAGGGAAUGAAUCAAUGCUGUGCAACACCAAUGUUGUUGUAGCUUUGCUGAUUCAGCUGCUUUUGCUGUUUUAAGAGAGGCAGGUGAUAACAUGGGGGAUUGCGAAGUCUUAAUUGGGAAUUCUCAUCACCUUAUCCAGGGAUAGCUACCAAGAAGCACAAAUAACCAAGAAUGACUCCAAACAAACAGAAAAUGAUACAGAUAAAUUUACAUUCACCCUCACUGUCUUACCUAGUUAUUUAUUUCUGAACAUGUCCAGCCUCAAAGUGGUGAAACCACAAGGUAGAUUAAAUAAUAAUAAAAGAUUAGUCAAAGUCAUACUAGUUGCUUAAGAAACACACCAUGUGACUCCACAAGGACAGAACUGGGAGGAGAAGAGUAAGGUACAGCUUGGUGAAAGCUGCACUGCCUUUUCCAAACAUGGCAUUUAUCAAAACGGAGUUUCCAGCAUCUUCAGAGGUGUGGGCAGCACAUCUCAGGGACUCACGUGGUCAUGAGGGAAUUACUCCUCCACACAGCACAGCCUGCACACAGAGUACAAUCUCCUCCCAGAACCUCACAGCUGCUCAGAUGAAAUAAUUCAACACUUCGGAAGAAGAAAGGACAAAGCAUACAUAGCACGCCACAAUGCUAUUUUUAGUCUGUCCUGAUUUCAUUUACCUCAAUAAGAAGAGAUUGAGUCAGCACAUCCUGUCAGAAUUGCCUAGUAUAUGUAACUCCUGUUGGGAGUUUUUCACACUGCUUUGGUUGGGCAGUGUUUCCUUUGUGUAACAGUUUGGCCUUUUCCCUGUAUGACAUACACAGUUCUAAGAAGGAAACACAGCCAAUGGCAGCGCCAUUGCUGCUCUCCAGCUCUGCUGGAUUUGUCAUGAUAGAAGGGACAGGAACAGGGACAAGGAGGAGAGUCACUGCCCAGUCAGCCAGGCACUGCAUCCCAGCACAGACCCAACAGCCAUUGCAGUUCUGCCACUGCCUCUUUGCCUGGCUGUUGGAAUAAAGGUCAUCUAGAAAGAGAUGGGGUGAAGGAAGAGACAAUGUUGAAAAUAUAACCACUUCUUUUUUUUUUUUUUUUAAAUCCUUUCAAGGUUAUUUAGCUCAUUUUGGUCCACCAAGAGAAGUGCCCAGCCUGUAAAUACCUGAGUCAAAAUGGGGAUGAAGAAUUUAGAAACAGUCUCGGUAUCUAUCUGAAGGAAAUCCAACUCUCAUUGGAUGUGGAUACAAUCCUAAGUUUUGUGAGGCAGCCAACACCACUGAUUCUAACACAUUCAACAUACAAAGAAGUGGGCAUCAGUUGUUGGGGCUGAGACCUCACAGUGCUGGUGCGGGGUCACAUUGGUGCUGUGCAUCAGUCAGUGGGUGGUGAGUAAUUGCACUGUGGCUAGAUGUAUUGUUAUCACUGCAUUUCUGUUUCCAUUUUCUUCUGCCCUGGUAAAUAGUUUUUAUAUAAAUAGACACAUUCUAUUUUGUUUCCAAUUCUCUCCCUCAUCCCAUUUGGGGAGCAGUGAACACACAGCCAUGUGGUGCUGAGCUGCUGCCAAGUUAAUCCACAAUGAAGCUGCAGAUGGUUCUUUAAUGCAUUUCAUAGCUUUGCCUCAAGACUUCUCUACUUCAGGAUCUCACACCGGAGGUGCAGCGACUGCACAAGACCUUGUCUCAGAUAAUCUCCUGAAGCACAAACAAAUGACAUUCAGAAACACUCAGAAAUGACACCAGGACCAAGGAGGCUUGGUUUCCUCAGGGUUUGAGUCUUGUGAUUGACUGGGGGCUGUGGUUGAAUGUCUAUUCCCAUGGUCAGUCAACAUUCAGUGCCAUGCACAUUCUCUUGUGCUUGGUAACAUGUCAGUUUGUGGCUGCCCUUCUCCAAUAGAAUUUAUCUCGGUUUUCCUUGCCCAGUAGAGCAAAUUUUCAACAAACUAAUUGGAGCAUUUAUUUUGUUAGCUUUCCUCAUUAGAACAUGACCAUUUGCCAAAUUUAUUUAAAUCAUCUGCAGAACUAGAUAAUCUUUGAGGUCUUUUUCAAUUCGGGCCAUUCUGUGAUUCUAUGAACUACAAAUUGCUGGUGAGGUUUGGGAACUGGGAGAGGAACAGAAUGUAGAUGCUGAGCCGAUGCCUCAGCCGCACUCCUUUAGCAACCAGACUACAAAGAUAACAUCCUGGUUUGGGGGUAUUACUUGACUCUAUUGGGAGUAUUGGUCAAGUCAUCUAAAUAUGGACAUAUACUCUCAUAACAUUGUUCAAAACUAUUAGAACUAUCUUUUUCUUUUUGAAAUGCCCCAGUAAUUGAAAGUUGGUGACUUGCUGUGAUUUCCUUUGUAAAAUGAAUUUUACAUUUACAUUACACAUUUCUGACACUAAGCCUGGCAAGUCUGAAGCACACACAUGACUAGAUCCAGGAGAAAUCCCAAAAGCUGACUUUUGAAAGAUACAGAUUUGUACCAAACUUACAAAGCGACAAUUUAUCACUGUUGGUAGUUCACCAACAAAGAAAAUUCAAGAAAUCAUCCAGUUCUCAGGAGCAACACAAAGACACUGCCUCAGCAGGAAGCUGUAAUUUGGGACCUAGAAAAUCUUAGUGUCUGAUUAUCUGAAAUUCGUCACUCCCCACUACCACAGCAUCUUCCCAGCUAUAUACUAAAGCAAAUCGUCCACUGCAAAGCAGCUAUGACAAAUACCAACACAUUGUCUACAGUGAGUAACCGGAGUAUGUACAUAACUUAGGAAAAUCAACAUGAACGUGUUAAGAAUUAUGAAUGUUUUAAUAAAUGAAUAUAAAUAGUUCACUUGCAACUUUAUAAUAAUGGAAUUAAAACACAACAAUAUCAAUAAACAUGUAUUUAUAUAUAUAAAAGUGUUGUUUAUUGUAAGGAAACUUUAAAUAUAACCAACAAUAUUGAAAAUAUC
rnacentral:lncRNA from 1 species